rnacentral:misc_RNA from 1 species
UUUUUUUCCUUUUUUUUUUUGGGAAUUCUUAGGGAAAAAAGGACCAGAUUAGGAUCUUUAAUUUGGCUGUUGAGUCUUUAAUUUACGGCUUACAUGCUUUGGCUAAUUGUUUUGAUACCGAAUAAUGCAAACCAAAUCACAGUUUUGCCCAAAUGUUUAUGCAUUUACAUGUAACUUACAUUGUUUAUGGCAAUAUGAAAUGUUAUUGAGGCUAAGAUGGUUCCAUGGUAUGAUAUACUUCGCACGUGAUGUUCGAAAUAGUUUGCUUUCUUUGACGUGGUUAGAAGAUUUUCAAUUGCUAUUCUAGAAGUUCUAAAAGAAUCCAAUGCAAUUUUGCUUGGUGAAUCUUAAACUUAGUUUCCAUACAUGCUGUCAACAAAAGUUAUUUGGUAGUCUUGCUUGUGUUUUUUUGGUAUCUCAUCUCAAGGCUUGAAGAACUCAAGGGAAUAGAGUACCAUAUGAAUAAAAUUCUUCUCAUUAAAAUGAACCCAUCAUGGUUAUUCAUUUGUUUUCUCAAUUGUGAUUUUCGAGGUGUGCAAAUUUUCAUUUUAGGAUAGCAAUGAUCCCAAUUUAAAUUUUGAGUUUUAGUUACUGGUUUGGAAGUUUUGCUGCAUGUAAUGAACAUACGAUGCAUUCUUAAAUAAUAUGAUUCCCAAAAAAUGUAUAAAAAAUAAAUUGCUAUGUGAAGUUUAGAACUAUUUAUAUAUUUUGUAGAGUUCAGGUUAAACAGUUAAGAAAAUAUUUCAGCAUUUCCAGUGAACUUCAGAGUCAAAUUGAAACAUUUAUCUGGACAUAAUUUUUAUGAAGAUCAUCUCACACUUUAUUAGCUUGAUUGAUGUCAUAUGCAAGUCUUUUGACCAAGCACCUGCUUUUGGGCCAGUCUAUACUAUUCAAGAGCCUCUUUCUGGGGGACGCCUAUGGAUUCACUCUGGUUCAAUUUUGAACAAUGUGGACAAAGAUGGGGAGCAACCAACCAAAUCUGAGAAAAGCACUGUUUUUGAUGGUUCUGGUGGUGCUAAAUUGAAGAGGAAGAAGUUGAAGGGAAAACGAGCAGUUGUAAGGUGGCUAAAGUUCUUCAGGUGGAAAAAGAAGAAAGAAUAUGAAAGAAUGACAGCAGAAGAAAAACUUUUAUACAAGUUGAAAAAGGCUAGAAUGAAAGAAGAACGGCUUGUUCAAGCUUUGAAGAAGAUUGAACCUGCAGAAUCAGCAGAAACAACUCACGAUCCAGAGAUAUUGACCCCAGAAGAGCACUUUUUCUUUUUGAAGAUGGGCCUAAAGUGCAAGAAUUAUGUGCCAGUUGGAAGACGUGGAAUAUAUCAGGGUGUAAUUCUUAACAUGCACUUGCACUGGAAGAAACAUCAAACCUUGAAGGUGGUGGUGAAGACAUUCUCACCGGAGGAGGUCAAGGAGAUUGCUGCUGAGCUGGCACGUUUAACUGGAGGGAUUGUACUAGAUAUUCAUGAAGAAAACACGAUAAUCAUGUAUAGAGGAAAGAAUUAUUCCCAGCCGCCAACAGAGAUAAUGUCACCUAGGGUCACCCUGUCCAGAAAGAAGGCUUUGGAUAAAUCAAAGUACAGGGAUGGCCUUAGGGCUGUUAGGAGAUAUAUUCCAAGACUUGAACAGGACCUUGAAUUGCUUAAAGCACAGACUAAAGGCAAAGCUGAAAGUGGAACUGUUUCGGUUGAAGAAACCCAGAAGACUGAUGAUGAUGAUGAUGCAAAAUCUAGGAGCAUUUCAAGCAUACCAUUGGAGAACCCCGAUAAAUUGAAAGAAAUUACGGGUGGGCAAGAGGAAUGCUCUGAGGAUGAAUGUUCUAUGGAUUUAAGGAUGGCAUCAGAUUCAGAAGAUCUAUCAGAUAUUUUUGAGACUGACUCUGACACAGAUACACAGGAUAAAGCAAAAGGUCCUCUUUAUUUGGACGAGUUUGAAAAGUUCCCAAUUGAAGGUAAUGAAGAACCUGAAGAUUUUGAAGAGCACUUACGCCAACUCUCUCUGGAAUCGAAAAAGGCAGACUCGUUGGAGAAAGAUUUGGACUCACCGUCUCUAGACGAGAUUGACAGGAUGUUUCUUCGUGCUGCUUCUCUUUUAAAGCAAAAGAAGAGAUAGGAGAUGUGCGAAAUUGCGAUACCCAUCAUUUUGGUUGAAAUAUUAAACUGCCCAAUUUCAUCGUUAUUUCAAAUUUGGACUGUUGUCAUAUGGGAUUUCAAAUACAACUUGGCACAUUUCAGAAGCCUCCCAUUUAGGAAACCAAAUACGCAAAAUAUGAAUAUGAUUAUUGUAAAAAUAAGAGUCCUACAAAUGUUAAAUCUAAAUAGCAUGACAUUCACAGUGAUCCAAGUUAAAUUUGGAUAGAAAAAUUAGUGAAAGAGCAAUCAGGCCUAUGCAAAAA